GUCCUUUUGUUUAUUUAUUUAAGGUCUGACCUGCCCAAUGAGGAAUUGAAUGGCCGCAGUAUUUUAACUGUGCUAAGGUAGCAUAAUCAUUUGUCUUUUAAUUGAGGGCUGGAAUGAAGGGUUGGACGAGGUAUUAACUUUCUUUGAUUUAAUGAAGAGAAUUUAAUUUUUGAGUUAAAAAGCUUAAAUUUAUUUGUGGGACGAGAAGACCCUAUAGAUCUUUAUAGUUUUAUAUUUUAAUAAUUUGGUGAUUUAUUUGUUUUAAGUAGAUGAACUAUUUUGUUGGGGUGACUGUAGAAUUUAAAUAACUUCUAUUAUUUUAUUUCAUUAAUUAAUGUUUUUGUGAUCCAUAUUUUAUGAUUAUAAGAUUAAGUUACCUUAGGGAUAACAGCGUAAUUUCCUCGGAGAGUUCAUAUUGAUGGGGGAGUUUGCGACCUCGAUGUUGGAUUAAAAUAAGUUAUGGAUGCAGGAGUCUAUUUACUAGGUCUGUUCGACCUUUAAAUUUUU
rnacentral:rRNA from 1 species